rnacentral:tRNA from 1 species
CGGGAAAGCUCACCGGGAAAAGCAAAGGACUGAAAAUCCCCGGGUCCCCAGUUCAAAUA